GCCACGGCCAUACCAGCCUGGGUACGCCCGAUCUCGUCUGAUCUCGGAAGCUAAGCAGGGUCGGGCCUGGUUAGUACUUGAUGGGAGACCGCCUGGGAAUACCAGGUGCUGUAAGCA
rnacentral:rRNA from 1 species